rnacentral:rRNA from 1 species
UGGGGAAUUUUGGACAAUGGGCGAAAGCCUGAUCCAGCAAUGCCGCGUGUGUGAAGAAGGCCUUCGGGUUGUAAAGCACUUUUGUCCGGAAAGAAAUCCUUGGCUCUAAUACGGUCGGGGGAUGACGGUACCGGAAGAAUAAGCACCGGCUAACUACGUGCCAGCAGCCGCGGUAAUACGUAGGGUGCAAGCGUUAAUCGGAAUUACUGGGCGUAAAGCGUGCGCAGGCGGUUUGCUAAGACCGAUGUGAAAUCCCCGGGCUCAACCUGGGAACUGCAUUGGGUGACUGGCAGGCUAGAGUAUGGCAGAGGGGGGUAGAAUUCCACGUGUAGCAGUGAAAUGCGUAGAGAUGUGGAGGAAUACCGAUGGCGAAGGCAGCCCCCUGGGCAAUACUGACGCUCAUGCACGAAAGCGUGGGGAGCAAACAGGAUUAGAUACCCUGGUAGUCCACGCCCUAAACGAUGUCAACUAGUUGUUGGGGAUUCAUUUCCUAGUAACGUAGCUAACGCGUGAAGUUGACCGCCUGGGGAGUACGGUCGCAAGAUUAAAACUCAAAUGAAUUGACGGGGUCAUAGCUGUUUCC